UACGUAGGAGGCGAGCGUUGUCCGGAGUUACUGGGCGUAAAGCGCACGCAGGCGGUCUCUUAAGUUUGUAGGGACAGGGCACAGCUCAACUGUGUCAGGCUUACGAAAACUGGGAGACUUGAGGGCUUCAGAGGGAUGGGGAAUUCCGGGUGGAGUGGUGAAAUGCGUAGAGAUCCGGAAGAACACCAAAGGCGAAGGCACCAUCCCUGGGGAGUCACUGACGCUCGGGUGCGAAAGCCAGGGGAGCGAACGGG
rnacentral:rRNA from 1 species